UGCUACACACCCAAUCUCGCUCGCACACCAGGCAACGCACAACCCUAGCUCCCACUUUCCCCUUGAUCCACUGCCCCUCCCUCCUCCCCGCUCGUCACCAAGGCCUCGCUGCCGCCUACUCCUCCGCCACCAUUGCUGCUUCCCCACCUCGACUCCCCUCUCUCCGUUGUUUAUCCGGUCGUCGGCGGCGCCUGGUUCCGGAUCUGGCGCAAGUUAGGCCCGGUGGUGGGGCGACGGGGCACUGGAGGCAGGCGACCCGGACAAGCAGCUGUCGGCCCGUCGCGGGUGAGGCUCCAAGAGGGAAGAGUCGGGGACAUGAGGCUCGAUGGAAGAGGGAAGAGGGCUGAGGCGGGGACAGGUGAAGGAGCAGGCUGGUCCUCGUGGAGGCGGCGCCGCCGGCCAGGGGCCAUUCGCGAUUCUUCUCUGCUGUCUUCUUACUCCGGGGCGUGCCGUGGAAGAACUCACCCACACCAGCCAAGGAGGAGACAUGAUGUGUGUGAGGUAGAGGUGGAUCAUUGGAGGUGAAGCAGGUCUCCUUGAUGUGUGCUUCAUCUGAGUUUCACGGGGUACAUAAGCAAUGGUUGCACCCCGCCACAUCACAUACCAGAUGCUUAGAUUAUAAGAAAGAGGAAUUUUGUAAGUCAGGCAUCGAUUGCUCACCUUUGAAGGUUACAGAUUCAAGUGCUAGGCUUUUAAGGAUGAAGCAAAUCCCAAUCUAGAAACAUGUGUAGUGCACCAUAUAUUUGUCACCAGAAACGAAUGUGCAGGCGACAACCAUUUGAUUAGUGUUAUAUCCAACUAAGGCUAGAUGACUGCAGUUUGAUUAUCAAUUCAUCUACCACAGCACAGACAGAUUUGGUCGGGUGUUGUGUUUUCUUGGCCCUUGUGUGCUUUGAUCGAUGUGCUCUGGCUCUGUGACUGAUGAUGCACAGGCAAUGGCGGCAUGGGUGGAAUGAGAGGAAGGAUGGGAAUCAGCUACUUGCAUUCGCACAGAGGAGGCAACGUCGACGCGAUGGUACAGCAGAGGAGGUUGGGCUCGUUGUGGAGCUUCUUGAGGCAGCAGGACGUCGGCGAGAGCAUCGCUGCCGGCAACGGCUCAACCGCUCGAGUGACCUCUUGAGGAUCUUCUCCAUGAGCACCUGGGACGACACCAACUCCAACAUCAUGUUCUCAGCGCUCGGCAGUAAGAAGGCCGAGGUGCUCGGCGACAACGAUGUCGGCAUGGUCACCAGCUUCAGCAACAUCGGCUCCCAGAUUCAGUUAGCCCUCUCGAGCUGUACAUGCCCAGCAUGGACGACUACCUGCAGCUGCAGCAGGACUCCGCCGACUGCCGAGUCCACGCCAAGCGUGGCUGUACCACUGACCCGCAGAGCAUUGCUUGGGAGGGAAACAAGAACAAGGAUCAAUAAGAGGCUAAGGAGGCUGCAAGACCUCAUUCCCUACAUGGACAAGGUCACAAGGUGACUGUGGGAUGCUCGCUUGACCCCCUGUCCACAAUGAAAACCGGAGGAACCUUCACUUUGUAUAUAUGGUGAUGGAUAUGGGGACAUAUAAGAACACCUCCCUUCCGAAAAUCAACUAGGGCAGAUAAGAAAACCCACCUGAGAAUCUAUUGUAUACCAUAUUUUUUAGCCUCUUAAGUCUUAACAUGUCCAUGUACAUGUUGUAGUCUAUAUUUCGAUAUAGAAUAUGUUGUUACAUGCAACUGUUUGAGUUGGUGGGCCAUUGCUGCUGCCGACUAAAAUUAUAAUAUUUGUAACUAAUAUUUUUGGUUGACAUAUUACUAGCAAAUUGGAUGUCAUAUCCCUAAACUAGGAAUUCUUUCAUCAUUGGAGGCUUUCAUCUGCAUAUACAAGGUAGCAGAAGAAGCAGGUGAGUGGCCUCUGUUUUGUUUCUUUAUGACAGUGUCCUCUACUUAAUGGUUGAAACGGUGUAUAGCCUGAAGCAUGUGAUGUUUCUUUCAGUGUAUAUUUGUGAUUUAUGGCGUUUGAUGUGCAUAGGGCAGAACCUGACAUCACAUACAGUAUUAGAGAGGAAUGUUUUAACAGUUAGUGUUUCAAAGAUUUAUACUGUUUCAGCUAGCCAAUGAAUGUUUGUGGAGCUACAGAUUUGGUAUCAAAAGUACAUAAUUUGGGAAAUUGGGUUUUUAGUUAAUGUGUGUCAGGCAUCAAUAGUUUUGAAAUAUUACCAUGUUGCCGAAUAUAUCAUACAAUUAUAGGUGCAUUUAGUUCCCUAGAACAUUUGUUCUUGACUACCCAGUACCCAGUUGAGAUAUCACCAUUAGCGAAACCACAUUGGAGGUAAUUCUAUUAAGUCGGAAAAGCUAUAUGUUCCAGAAUUAUUGUUUAAUGAAGUACUCAUUUUGCUUUAUUCGUAUAAUAUGUCUUCCUGUUUUGUCAUCGACUUAAUAUUAUCCAUUGAAAGUUCUCCUUUUGUAAUGCGAGUGACCGACAGGACAAAUACCAUUAUGCAUCAAGUAUAGUCGAAGUAGAACUUUGUCCUGGUAUUAGUGGAUUACAUGCUAAUGUGCAGAUAACAUGGUUCUGAAGUCGAAAAUCAUUGCCACAAUGUUACAGAUUAGAGUUUCCAAAAUAAUAUUAUACUCCCUCCAUCCGGAAAUACUUGUCGGAAAAAUGGAUGAAAAUGGAUAUAUCUACAACUAAAUUGCGUCUAAAUACAUCCAUUCCUCCGACAAGUAUUUUCGGACGGAGGGAGUAGUAAUCACAUCCAUUUCAUUGGAUGUGACGUGAUGUAUCCUAUAUGCGGAGCCAUGAAAGAAAUGUAACUAUGGAAGUUGUAGAUAACAGUAUACAGUUGUUCGAGUGCUCUCUGGCUAAACCUGAUGCCUUUUGUACAUCAAGGCUCUGAAUUUUUUAAGGAUCACAACUUACUUUCAAAGUAACAAUAAUAUUUGGAAAAUAUCAGAGGUGACAGAGAACAAUUUAAUAGGAUAGUGGCAAAUAAGGCCCAUUUCCUUAAGGUAUCAGCACAUAAUACUUUUCACUAAUUUGGCCAGUUAGCAAUGCUCUGGUUUGUGCCAGUCGGGAAUUGAGAGCGUCAGUAGUCUCUGCAUAAAUAACCAUCAGACUGGAGGUCAACACUGAGAGAGGGACCGCAUACAGUUUUGUUCAAGCAUACCCCUUCAAGUUAUAAUUGCAAUACACUAUGCUGGAUACAAAUGACCUUUCGAUUUGAACUAUUCAUAUUGUGUAAUUUGGGCAGGAUCCAGGUUUCGGUUGCUAGCAACUGUAAUCAUCAGAAUCUUUUCUCUUUUUGUAGGUAUGCUGGUCUUGAUGUGGUUUUGGACUGAAUGUUUCUCACUUGGAGAAAUGCUUUUUGCUAGAAUCAAUAUAUUUUUCAGUCCCCAACGAUUUUAUUCCUCAGCGCUCAAUGGACUUCUAUCAAUAUUUUCUUCCAAACAAUGUAUUGAAUUUACUAUGAUUCAUUGGAGUUAUUUGACAGAGAAAUACUCUCUGUAUACUGGAUACAGUUACUCAUGAUACGCCCUUUUACUCCCUAGCGACAAAUACACUCAUUUUUAGUUUUAUGUACCGCCAUUGACAUAUAUAUUUUCUUCCAAACUGUGAGACAUUAUGUAAAUGUACACUGGAGAAUGUAUUAUGUACAUGUAUAUUAUUUCAAAUGGGUCUCUACGAACAUGGUAGCAAGUAUUUUGUGCUAUCAGAAUAGAAUGUGCGUAUACAUCUCAUUGUUGACAACAAUGCACUAUAAUUAAGUUUCCCUUCUUUUAGCUUAUUUGUUGCUACCUGAGAUAGUACCAAGUAUGAUCUUUGGUUUGCCAUGUACGACACCGCGGAGUCAUUUUAUUAAGCUGGCAUUAGUAAUUUUGCAUUUUACAUAGUUCAUGUGCAAGUUAAACGUAUGUCCAAUAAUUACUAAUAUUAAGUUUAUAAUGUUGGCACAGUCUGUUAUUGCCGUUAUCUUCUUGGGAGUACUUGAGAAGGCAUGGCUGGGAAUGUGGGGACACGCCAUGGCAGAGGCGCAUGGUCGGCAGGAGGAGUCAGGGAGGCCUGAAGGUGGACAUGUGGAUGUUAUCGUGGCAUUGACACAUUUCGCUCCACUGAUGCUACAUACCAGGGAUUCGUUGGAAGCCACACAGCGCACCCGAGAAGGAGAGGAGGAGAAUGCUAUGAGGAGAGGAAAUGAUAAGUUUUAUUGUUUUGUUUUAAGAGCAAGGGAUUUGAUAUGUAGUCCCCUGGCUUAUUUGUAUUCUACUAUGUGUAUGGUCAAAGAAAUCAUGAUUUUAUACACAUAUAUUUUUAAACAAAACCCUAUGUAUGUUUUUCUCAAACAGUGUCAUCGGAAAGCGCUCAUAUUUUCAAUGCGUACAUGAUUUUAAAUGGUUCUUUGCGAAGAUGGUAGCAAAUAUUUUGUGCUAUCAAAUUAAAAUGUGUGUAUAUACAUCUCAUUGUAGACAACAAUCAAUCAUGUUUCUUAUUAAAGGUUAUUGCACCAUGGAUAAUUUUUUCCUUGUGCAUAGGGAUUUAGAGUGCCUCUGCAUCAUUUGGCGCAACAAAUCCUCGUUUUCCCUAACUAAGAGAUUAAGUUUGUUGUCAUAUGUGCUUGCCCGUAACAAAAUCAACUAAACUAUGGAUUUAUUUUUGUUGCUAACUUGGAAUCAUCAGCAUGCUAACCAUAUUUUCGGUAUAGCAUUCUACUACAAAUAUCGAAUAGGUAUUCGCAAAAUGCAACUAUUUUCAUCGCCAAUAUGGCUUUAGCGGAUCUUUGCGCCAGUUGGCGCAAAAUCGCACCGGUCGGCGGCUGACGAAACUUCUCUGUCACCCAGCUGAGGAACCGAGAAAGAAAGGAAGUCUUUGCUGGCUCUGCCCCCUGCCGCUUCCAUAUCCAGCUUCUCACGGGCCGCAGGCAUCGCUCAACGUGGGCUGGGCUAAAUAACAUAUGGAACAAUAUGCAUGGCCAGGUUUCUCAUCAUGAAUCAUGUUUUCAAACUUGCUAAAAAAAUACAACCAUGCCAACUUUACUCUCUCAUCAUGGUGGCCAUAUUUUCAAACUGAACAUAUUCAUAUUAUGCAAAGUUUCCCUUUUCCCAGACUAUUAUUUAACAAUGUAAUAAACAUGUUUAGAAAAUAGCAUGAUUUAGUUGAAGGUUCUUGCAGCAUGAAACUA